rnacentral:rRNA from 1 species
UAGGGAAUAUUGCACAAUGGGCGAAAGCCUGAUGCAGCAACGCCGCGUGCAUGAUGAAGGCCUUCGGGUCGUAAAAUGCUUUUCUGAGGAACGAGUAAGGACGGUACCUCAGGAAUAAGGUUCGGCUAACUACGUGCCAGCAGCCGCGGUAAAACGUAGGAACCGAGCGUUAUCCGAAUUUACUGGGCGUAAAGGGCGUGUAGGCGGUUUGGUAAGUUGGAUGUGAAAGCUCCUGGCUUAACUGGGAGAGGCCGUUCAAUACUACCAGACUAGAGGACGGUAGAGGGGGGUGGAAUUCCCGGUGUAGUGGUGAAAUGCGUAGAUAUCGGGAGGAACACCUGUGGCGAAAGCGGCCCCCUGGGCCGUUCCUGACGCUGAUACGCGAAAGCUAGGGGAGCAAACGGG